AGACACAGAUUCUGUCCUUAAAACCCUCUGAUUGAUUGCAUCCAUCUUUUGCCUUUUGCUAAAGAUUUCCGUGGAGAGGAACAAUUUUGAGUCUUAACCCAGUGUUUUGAGGCCUUGCAUCGGCAAGACU
rnacentral:snRNA from 1 species